rnacentral:rRNA from 1 species
AUGAACGCUAGCUACAGGCUUAACACAUGCAAGUCGAGGGGCAGCAUGGUCUUAGCUUGCUAAGACUGAUGGCGACCGGCGCACGGGUGAGUAACACGUAUCCAACCUGCCGUCUACUCUUGGACAGCCUUCUGAAAGGAAGAUUAAUACAAGAUGGCAUCAUGAGUCCGCAUGUUCACAUGAUUAAAGGUAUUCCGGUAGACGAUGGGGAUGCGUUCCAUUAGAUAGUAGGCGGGGUAACGGCCCACCUAGUCUUCGAUGGAUAGGGGUUCUGAGAGGAAGGUCCCCCACAUUGGAACUGAGACACGGUCCAAACUCCUACGGGAGGCAGCAGUGAGGAAUAUUGGUCAAUGGGCGAGAGCCUGAACCAGCCAAGUAGCGUGAAGGAUGACUGCCCUAUGGGUUGUAAACUUCUUUUAUAAAGGAAUAAAGUCGGGUAUGGAUACCCGUUUGCAUGUACUUUAUGAAUAAGGAUCGGCUAACUCCGUGCCAGCAGCCGCGGUAAUACGGAGGAUCCGAGCGUUAUCCGGAUUUAUUGGGUUUAAAGGGAGCGUAGAUGGAUGUUUAAGUCAGUUGUGAAAGUUUGCGGCUCAACCGUAAAAUUGCAGUUGAUACUGGAUAUCUUGAGUGCAGUUGAGGCAGGCGGAAUUCGUGGUGUAGCGGUGAAAUGCUUAGAUAUCACGAAGAACUCCGAUUGCGAAGGCAGCCUGCUAAGCUGCAACUGACAUUGAGGCUCGAAAGUGUGGGUAUCAAACAGGAUUAGAUACCCUGGUAGUCCACACGGUAAACGAUGAAUACUCGCUGUUUGCGAUAUACUGCAAGCGGCCAAGCGAAAGCGUUAAGUAUUCCACCUGGGGAGUACGCCGGCAACGGUGAAACUCAAAGGAAUUGACGGGGGCCCGCACAAGCGGAGGAACAUGUGGUUUAAUUCGAUGAUACGCGAGGAACCUUACCCGGGCUUAAAUUGCAGUGGAAUGAUGUGGAAACAUGUCAGUGAGCAAUCACCGCUGUGAAGGUGCUGCAUGGUUGUCGUCAGCUCGUGCCGUGAGGUGUCGGCUUAAGUGCCAUAACGAGCGCAACCCUUGUUGUCAGUUACUAACAGGUUCCGCUGAGGACUCUGACAAGACUGCCAUCGUAAGAUGUGAGGAAGGUGGGGAUGACGUCAAAUCAGCACGGCCCUUACGUCCGGGGCUACACACGUGUUACAAUGGGGGGUACAGAGGGCCGCUACCACGCGAGUGGAUGCCAAUCCCAAAAACCUCUCUCAGUUCGGACUGGAGUCUGCAACCCGACUCCACGAAGCUGGAUUCGCUAGUAAUCGCGCAUCAGCCACGGCGCGGUGAAUACGUUCCCGGGCCUUGUACACACCGCCCGUCAAGCCAUGGGAGCCGGGGGUACCUGAAGUGCGUAACCGCGAGGAGCGCCCUAGGGUAAAACUGGUGACUGGGGCU